UUUAUGGAGAGUUUGAUCCUGGCUCAGGACGAACGCUGGCGGCGUGCCUAAUACAUGCAAGUCGAGCGAACAGAGAAGGAGCUUGCUCCUUCAACGUUAGCGGCGGACGGGUGAGUAACACGUGGGCAACCUACCUUAUAGUUUGGGAUAACUCCGGGAAACCGGGGCUAAUACCGAAUAACCUGUUUCACCUCAUGGUGAAACACUGAAAGACGGUUU
rnacentral:rRNA from 1 species